rnacentral:tRNA from 1 species
GCGCCCGUAGCUCAGCGGAUAGAGCGCCACCCUGCGGAGGUGGAGGCCGCAGGUUCGACUCCUGCCGGGCGCACUA